rnacentral:ncRNA from 1 species
CAAAAGCCUGGUCCUGACUUUAACAUCAGUUGUAGCCCAGAUUACACAUGCAAGUACCCGCAAUCCCGUGAGAAUGCCCUUUAUCUUCCGACAGGAAAAAAGGAGCAGGCAUCAGGCACACAAUGGCAGCCCAAGACGCCUUGCUCAGCCACGCCCCCAAGGGAACUCAGCAGUGACAAACAUUAAGCCAUAAGCGAAAGCUUGACUUAGCCAGGGCUAAGAGGGUCGGUAAAACUCGUGCCAGCAACCGCGGUUAUACGAGGGACCCAAAUUGAUAAAUCACGGCGUAAAGUGUGAUUAGAGGCAAACCAAACUAGAGCCAAAUACCCCUUAUGCAGUCAUACGCCAUAGGGGUCACGAAGACCAACAACGAAGGUGGUUCUAUAAAACUUGAACUCACGACAGCUAGGACACAAACUGGGAUUAGAUACCCCACUAUGCCUAACCUUAAACCAAGGUGAUAAAGCUACAAACUUCACCCGCCAGGGAACUACGAGCCCCCGCUUAAAACCCAAGGGACUUGGCGGUGCCUCAAACCCACCUAGAGGAGCCUGUCCUAUAACCGAUAAUCCCCGUUAAACCUCACCCCUUCUUGUUAAUUCCGCCUAUAUACCGCCGUCGCCAGUUUACCUUUUGAAAGAACAAAAGUAAGCAAAACGGGCACCACCCAGAACGUCAGGUCGAGGUGUAGCGAAUGAAGGGGGAAGAGAUGGGCUACAUUUUCUGGCAACAGAACACUACGGAGAGUGCGAUGAAAAACGCACAGCCGAAGGUGGAUUUAGCAGUAAAAAGGGAAAAGAGAGCCCUUUUGAAACCGGCCCUGAGGCGCGUACACACCGCCCGUCACUCUCCUCGAAAAACAAUACGACGCUAAAUAAAAAAAUAAAAAAGAGAGAGGAGGCAAGUCGUAACAUGGUAAGUGUACCGGAAGGUGCACUUGGAAAAAU